rnacentral:rRNA from 1 species
UACGUAGGGUGCGAGCGUUGUCCGGAAUUAUUGGGCGUAAAGAGCUCGUAGGCGGUUUGUUGCGUCGGCCGUGAAAACUUGGGGCUUAACUCCGAGCUUGCGGUCGAUACGGGCAGACUUGAGUUCGGCAGGGGAGACUGGAAUUCCUGGUGUAGCGGUGGAAUGCGCAGAUAUCAGGAGGAACACCGAUGGCGAAGGCAGAUCUCUGGGCCGUAACUGACGCUGAGGAGCGAAAGCGUGGGGAGCGAACAGG